UACGGGGGGGGCAAGCGUUGUUCGGAAUUACUGGGCGUAAAGGGCUCGUAGGCGGCCAACUAAGUCAGACGUGAAAUCCCUCGGCUUAACCGGGGAACGUGCAUCUGAUACUGGAUGGCUUGGAGUUUGGGAGAGGGAUGCGGAAUCCAGGUGUAGCGGUGAAAUGCGUAGAUAUCUGGAGGAACACCGGUGGCGAAGGCGGCAUCCUCGGACCAA
rnacentral:rRNA from 1 species